UUUAAGAAGAGUCUUCAAGCUCCGUGUUGCAGACCUCAUUUUUUUGGAAUCUGGCUCACAGCCCUGGGUGUUGGUUUUGCUCAGAGACAGAGCAGCUGACAUAUUCUGUACUGGACCAUUCAGAAGACAGAAAAAGAUACAUCCAUGAAGAACUUCUUUUGGAAAGAGUCUUUUCAUCAUACUGAGUUUAAAUAUGCACACCUGAGAAUAUAUGCUUUCAUAAAAGAAUUCAAAGCAGUCUGCACAGGAUUCAGUCAGCCUUAUCCUUUUGCUAACUCAGUGGAAAGAAACUUCCACUUUGCUUACAUUGUUUCCUCCUUCCAUUCCUUGCUAG
ensembl:lncRNA